GUGUCAGCAGCCGCGGUAAUACGAAGGGUGCAAGCGUUAAUCGGAAUUACUGGGCGUAAAGCGUGCGUAGGCGGUUUCUUAAGUCCGUUGUGAAAGCCCUGGGCUCAACCUGGGAACUGCGAUGGAUACUGAGGAGCUGGAGUACGGUAGAGGAAGGUGGAAUUCCCGGUGUAGCGGUGAAAUGCGUAGAGAUCGGGAGGAACAUCAGUGGCGAAGGCGGCCUUCUGGACCAGUACUGACGCUGAGGCACGAAAGCGUGGGGAGCAAACAGGAUUAGAUACCCUCGUAGUCC
rnacentral:rRNA from 1 species